rnacentral:rRNA from 1 species
AUAUCAAUAAGCGGAGGAAAAGAAACCAAUAGGGAUUGCCCUAGUAACGGCGAGUGAAGCGGCAGCAGCUCAGAUUUGAAAUCUGGCUUUCGGGCCCGAGUUGUAAUCUGGAGAGGAUGCUUUUGGCGCUGGUAGCACAGAGUCCUCUGGAAUGUGGCGCCAUAGAGGGUGAGAGCCCCGUAUUGUGACAUACUAAGCCUUUGUAUAGCUCCUUCGACGAGUCGAGUAGUUUGGGAUUUGCUACUCUAAGCGGGAGGUAAAUCUCUUCUAAAGCUAAAUAUUGGCCAGAGACCGAUAGCGCACAAGUA